CGCCGGGCGACGGCAUUCAUUCGACUAGACCACUAGUUUCCAAAACGAAAGGCUGCCCAAAUUUUCGAUUACCUGUAUUUAAGUAAUCGCUGCAACCGGUGAACCUCAGUGUACAAGUUGAGUGCUUAGCUAUACAGUCGUCAACGUUACGCACCGUCGUGCGAGACAUACUGCUGUUGUAUACACGGCCACUUGAAGCACAUCCUUCCCGUAAAUUAGAGUCGAGAAGAUGGUCGUUGCAGAGGAUAAAGGGAUCGGCUAAUUUUCGACAUGUCAAGAAAAACAUUUUUCGCACAUUUUGGUCCGUAUACAACUCACAAUAUGACUGAAGUACCAAUGGCGAUGAAUGAUAUAUAAUAAUAACAUAUUUACUAUUUGAGGCAAUACGCGGAAAAGUAUGUUAUGUACGAAUUAUCAAUGACGACUUAAUUUCUGCAACUACUUACAUCAAUCUGGUUGCUUAUAACAAAAAAAAAAUGAUUCACAAUCGUUAAUUUCGACCUGAUAAGUGACGACUGUGGCUACACAGGAAACAGUGCCUAUUUAGUAGAUGACAAAUGGUCAUUACCAUUAAGUUGUCGUGUAAGGUUUCGUGGCCUACUGGUAUAGUAAACAUCCUUUACAAUUAUCACUGUCAUUAAAACUCUAUCGCACCAUCUUAACACCGCCGAACCAAAAUAAAUACUGAUGAUGUCAAACGGAAUGUACCAGCAGAUAUUGUGGAAAUUUUGUUGCCCAAAAAAAAUUAUACUCUUACACGUGGAUCUUGUGGAGAUAUCACGGCCGAAAUGCUUAUGUGUCAUUUAUACUGUAAUAGACCGCCAUAUCUUGUGGAGCCCCUUUCGCCACUUGCCAGGUCGACGUUAAUAGUUGGGGUUCGUAUGCUGCAAACGACCAGGUC